ACUGGUACAGAGUCAAUGUGGAGGCUAUAUACAGGGGGUACUGGUACAGAGACAAUGUGGAGGCUAUAUACAAGGGGUACCGGUACAGAGUCAAUGUGGAGGCUAUAUACAGGGGGUACAGGUACAGAGUCAAUGUGGAGACUAUAUACAGGGGGUACAGGUACAGAGACAAUGUGGAGGCUAUAUACAGGGGGUACAGGUACAGAGACAAUGUGGAGGCUAUAUACAGGGGGUACAGAGACAAUGUGGAGGCUAUAUACAGGGGGUACAGGUACAGAGACAAUGUGGAGGCUAUAUACAGGGGGUACAGGUACAGAGACAAUGUGGAGGCUAUAUACAGGGGGUACAGGUACAGAGACAAUGUGGAGGCUAUAUACAAGGGGUACCGGUACAGAGUCAAUGUGGAGGCUAUAUACAGGGGGUACAGGUACAGAGUCAAUGUGGAGGCUAUAUACAGGGGGUACAGGUACAGA
ensembl:lncRNA